AGCAGCCGCGGUAAUUCCAGCUCCAAUAGCGUAUAUUAAAGUUGUUGCAGUUAAAAAGCUCGUAGUUGAAUUUCGAGAUCAAUUUGUCGGUCGUGCCUCGGUACGUACUGGCGUUAUUGAUUUCUCCCUUCUGAAGAACCGCGAUGUCAUUAAUUUGGUGUCGUGGGGAAUCAGGACUGUUACUUUGAAAAAAUUAGAGUGUUUAAAGCAGGCGCACGCUUGAAUACAUUAGCAUGGAAUAAUGAAAUAGGACGUUUGAUUCUAUUUUGUUGGUUUCUAGGAUCGACGUAAUGAUUAAUAGGGAUAGUUGGGGGCAUUAGUAUUCAAUUGUCAGAGGUGAAAUUCUUGGAUUUAUUGAAGACUAACUACUGCGAAAGCAUUUGCCAAGGAUGUUUUCAUUAAUCAAGAACGAAAGUUAGGGGAUCGAAGACGAUCAGAUACCGUCGUAGUCUUAACCAUAAACUAUGCCGACUAGGGAUCGGAUGAUGUUU
rnacentral:rRNA from 1 species